rnacentral:rRNA from 1 species
AUUGAACGCUGGCGGCAUGCCUUACACAUGCAAGUCGAACGGCAGCGGGGACUUCGGUCCGCCGGCGAGUGGCGAACGGGUGAGUAAUGUAUCGGAACGUACCAUUCAGUGGGGGAUAACUAUCCGAAAGGAUAGCUAAUACCGCAUAUUCUGUGAGCAGGAAAGCAGGGGAUCGCGAGACCUUGCGCUGAUUGAGCGGCCGAUAUCAGAUUAGAUAGUUGGUGAGGUAAAGGCUCACCAAGGCGACGAUCUGUAGCGGGUCUGAGAGGAUGAUCCGCCACACUGGAACUGGGACACGGUCCAGACUCCUACGGGAGGCAGCAGUGGGGAAUUUUGGACAAUGGGGGCAACCCUGAUCCAGCCAUGCCGCGUGAGUGAAGAAGGCCUUCGGGUUGUAAAGCUCUUUCGGCCGGGAAAAAAUCGCAUGGGUUAAUACCCUGUGUGGAUGAUGGUACCGGAGUAAGAAGCACCGGCUAACUACGUGCCAGCCGCCGCAGUAAGAC